rnacentral:rRNA from 2 species
GUAGGGACCAAGCGUUGUUCGGAUUUACUGGGCGUAAAGGGCGCGUAGGCGGCUUGACAAGUCACUUGUGAAAUCUCCGGGCUUAACUCGGAACGGCCAAGUGAAACUGUCAUGCUAGAGUGCAGAAGGGGCAAUCGGAAUUCUUGGUGUAGCGGUGAAAUGCGUAGAUAUCAAGAGGAACACCUGAGGUGAAGACGGGUUGCUGGGCUGACACUGACGCUGAGGCGCGAAAGCCAGGGGAGCAAACGGGAUUAGAUACCCCGGUAGUCCUGGCCCUAAACGAUGAAUACUUGGUGUCUGGAGUUAUUAGUGCUCCGGGUGCCGUCGCUAACGUUUUUAGUAUUCCGCCUGGGGAGUACGCUCGCAAGAGUG